GCCAGCUUGGCGCAGUGGUAACGCGUAGCACUUGUACUAAACGACAUGCUAAGAUCGCUCGUUCGAUUCGGGCAGUUGGCA